rnacentral:lncRNA from 1 species
UGGGAUUCUUCUAAAUCAUCAAAGGAGACACCGCCGGUGUCUGACAGUUGAGCCACCUACUGCUCUGCUGAUAAUUGGCUAGAAGGCUUUCCUACCAACAGUGCUGAUCAUUGGCAACUUUCCAAGUUUCUUAGCAGAACCUCAAAAGAACUGAUUGUGAAGAUUUUUGGAAAUUAACGUGUGCUGGAAGAGACGGGGGAGAGCUGGAUGAAGGGGAGGCAAUAUUUUUGCUCGUGGCCAGAACAACCUACGCCAGCUUCCCACAUGAGAAAGGGCAGUUCAAUACAAUAUUACCAGAACAAAAGGAGCGAGUUUUGAUGAAAGCCUUGACAGUUUAUUAUUGCUCUGCUUCUGAAAAGCAAAGUAUAUAGCUUGGAGCAAUAUAAUUUUUAUCACGACCU